UACGUAGGGUGCGAGCGUUAAUCGGAAUUACUGGGCGUAAAGCGUGCGCAGGCGGCUUCGCAAGUCAGGCGUGAAAUCCCCGGGCUUAACCUGGGAAUGGCGUCUGAAACUACGGAGCUGGAGUGUGGCAGAGGGAGGUAGAAUUCCACGUGUAGCGGUGAAAUGCGUAGAUAUCUGGAGGAAUACCGGUGGCGAAGGCGGCAUCCUGGACCGACAUUGACGCUGAUGAGCGAAAGCUAGGGGAGCAAACGGG
rnacentral:rRNA from 1 species